UAAAAUAAUCAUUUUUUUUUAAACUAGCGGGGCAGUGAAAUCUUUGCUUUGUUGCUAAAGUCAACAAUGACAGAGUUUGAGCUCAAAUAAAUGCCGUGAGGCUUCCAGCCUUGUGCAGAAGGCAGCGGGAGAGACGACGAUUACCGUCCUGCGGGCACCAGAUGUGAGUGAUCUUCACCAUCAUGUCAUGCUCCUCCAUCAUUUGGCAACUGCCUUUCCAUAAAGCAGGUUUACCUGUCGCAGCCCACAGUCACGUCUGACUUGGAUGCAUGAGCAAGAUAACAUUCACAUCUGCAACGUCAAGAGAGAGGGGCACAAGGAAGCCUGACAUUAAUCAUUAACAGCGCUAAAAGCCCCUGCUUUUGUAUUCCCAUGGAGCCGGGUGCAUCUGUGAUCAUGUGACCUGCACAGAGGAGAUUGGGGGAGUGAGCGCUAAAGCAAACACAGGUGUUUGGGCUGCUGCUGUUAGGGACAACUGCAAACACAGUCCACCAUACUCACCCACAACCUCACUACAGCCAAUCAGAGACACAGACGGCCCUGCCUGACAUUUCACUUGACAAUUAAGACUCUUUGAUUGCCUAAUAAAGUUUCAGUACAGACUGAUGUAAGGAGCUGUGGAUUCUUAAUUAAGCACCAUAAACAGGUACAAACUAUUUAACAUAAUAGGAACAGACUAAGUACACAAUGCUUGUUUUCCUUAUAAACAAUAAUACUUAAUCACAACAGCCAUAACAGGUCAUACAGGGAAAUACAACAUUCUCCACUUGAAACACCCCAUGCAAAUAAUUUGUUACCUUAUUAUUUACAUGAAGCAUAUAUACCAAUACUAAAAUAUUUAUUAUAUUAAAAAUAAAGUGAAUCAAGAUUAGUACCCGAUUUAGUACCCGUCAAACGUUUUUAGGAUUUUAUUACAGAUUUACAAAUUUAAUGUGUUUUUACAGAGGUCAUCAUGGCAAAUCAGUUAUUAGAAAGUAGUUGUUAAAACUAUUAUGUUUAGAAAUUAAAUAAUAAAUAAGUUCUUAUCUUCGUUAAACAGAAAUUGGGGAAAACUUUAAUAAAUAAAAAUUUUACAGAAGGGCUAAUAAUUCUGACUUCAACUGUACAUAUUAACACAUUUAAUUAUAUUUUAUUUGUCUAAUCUGACAUCAUUUAAAGCGCAGGCUGCACGGUGGCGCAAUGGGUAGCAUGUUUGCCUCACAGCAAGAAGGUCGCUGGUUCGAGCCUUGGAUGGGUCAGUUGGCGUUUCUGUGUGGAGUUUGAAUGUUCUACCUGUGUACUCCCCAUGUUGGUGUGGGUUUCCUCCAGUUGCUCCGGUUUCCCCCACAAGUCCAAAGGCAUGAGGUACAGGUGAAUUGGGUAAGCUAAAUUGUCUGUUGUGUGAGUGACGUGUAUGAAUGUUUCCCAGUGAUGGGUUGCAGCUGGAAGGGCAUUCGCUGCAUAAAACAUAUGCUGGAUAAGUUGGCAGUUCAUUCCGCUGUGGUGAACUCAGAUUAAUAAAGGGACUAAGCCGAAAACAAAAAGCUAAUAUGGUACAUGACAUAUGUCAAAUCAAAUCAAAUAAAAUCACUUUUAUUGUCA